rnacentral:rRNA from 1 species
UACGUAGGUGGCAAGCGUUGUCCGGAAUUAUUGGGCGUAAAGCGCGCGCAGGCGGUUCUUUAAGUCUGAUGUGAAAGCCCACGGCUCAACCGUGGAGGGUCAUUGGAAACUGGGGAACUUGAGUACAGAAGAGGAAAGCGGAAUUCCACGUGUAGCGGUGAAAUGCGUAGAGAUGUGGAGGAACACCAGUGGCGAAGGCGGCACUCUGGGACGGUACUGACGCUGAGACGCGAAAGCGUGGGGAGCGAACAGG